UAAUAAUCACUAGUGAAUGUCCGAUAACUCUCCAGGCCCCAUGCCGGCUCCUCGUCUCUGAGCAAACAGUCAGAGGAAAAUAACCCCCAGGUCCCAUGCCGGCUCCCUGUCCCUGUGCUAAUAGCCAGAGGAAAAACACUUCAGGUCCUAUGCCAACACCAUAAUUGUCGCUCGGAAAGGACUAGAAUCUAUCCAUACAUCCCGUAGCAGAAUAAGGACCACUAGUUAAGUACAAAACCAUUGAACAUACACAUAUAUUGAAAAACAACUUCAUAGUAUAAAGUCAUCCAUCAUCUAUACUAUAAAGAGGUGUUCAAACAUGUUCUAAAUAUCAUAUCGUCAUCCAUCAGAUAUUCUACAAGAACACGAGCUAUAGGAAAAAUAGUAAUAAUUCAAAAUAGCCUCAAUAAGCAUGUUAUCUCAAAGCGUUUCAUAAAAUGUAAUCAUUAAAUCAUGCUUUUCAUGUAUGCAUUUCUACUAUUAAAACAUGCAUUUUAGAAGGGAUCCACUCACAGAUACUUCGUCGUUGAAGAGCCACGCAAAUUAGUGAAGACAGAAACGCCGCAAUAAUUGUCCCUAAGCACAUACAGGGCCCAAUUAAUAAAACUCUAUUAUAACAAUUGAAUUUGGGAAAACGGACGUCGAAAACGGAUUCAGGACCUUAAAUUAUCCUAAGAAGGGUCCCAGAUAAAUUUCGUAAAAGUCAAUAGAAUAUUCCCCAUAAAGGGUUUGGGCCGGCUAGGGUUUAGGGUUUGGACUUGGGUUAGGUUUAGGUUUAGGUAGGUUGGGCUUAGGAUAAUGUGUUAAUGGGUUAAGGGUUUUCUAAUUUAAAAAGGGUUUUGGGUUAAUAGGUUAGAGGAUUGGGUUAAGGAUUUAGUUUCAAACAAAUAAAAUACAUAAAUAAAUAAAAGGGUUCCAAGGCCCAAAGGCCAUAUCUGAUGGAUUUUGGGUUAAUGGGCCGAAGGCCCUAGGCUGCACAAAAGGGGCUUGGGCUUAAAGGCCCGGCCCAAUUCAUUUGGGUUUUUAUAAAAUUAAAUAAAUAAAUAAAUAUAAAUAGAUUAAAGGAUUUGGGUUGGGUUUAAAAGGAUAACGGGCCUAAGGCCCUACGUUUAGCACGGCCUAAAAGGCCUGGUUCAAAAGGAUCUCGGCUUGAAAGCCCGGCCUGAGUUCAGAACAUGGGUCACCGGACCUAAUUGAAAGAGAAGGCCGGAUUUCGGCCGGAAAUCUGGACAAACUUUAAACGUUUAUAACUUUGUCAAUACUCAAUGAAAUCAAGUGAUUCAAAAAUGAAAGUUGUAGUCUUAGGGAGACGAAGAGAUUGAUACCUUGCACACUGCCAACUCGCUGUGGUUUGACCGGAAAUUAGCUCGAAAGCCGUCAAUUUCUCGCCGGAAAUCCAGGGAAGUCUCCCCGACGUAUUUCUUCAUGAUUUGACGUCCAAAACACAACCACGGGGUCAGAAAAGAACUACAGGGAUGAAAAGAGAAGCAUUUGGAGUGUUUUGAGGCUUACCCAAAACGGAAGGACGAAGAACUCGCCGGAGUUUCUCUGUGCUCCACAGAGACGAAGAGAGAGAGAGAGAGAGAGAGAGCUAACGUGGUGAUGAUGGUGAUGCUAUCGUUGUUGAUGGGGUGUGGGCACAGGUGUGUGUGGGUUGGUCCUCGGGCAGAAAAAGAGAGUUGCAGAGAGAGCCGAGAGAAAGAUAAGGGAGAUAAGAAGAAGAAGAGGGAGAGAAUAAGAAGAGGUUGACUCGAGGGAGAACAUAGAGGAGAGAGACCGGGGACACAAAAGCAAGGUGGGCCCCCUGGGCCUAUUAAAAUCCAAAAACAAUUUUAAAGCAAGGUAACCUCAACCUUAGUGAAUAUACAAAUUAAAUGAGGGGGGGGGGGGUGUAACAUAGGGUUUUGGUAAGUUGCUUGGAGAGCAGGGAAUAAAAUCCUAAAGUUACUAGGAUUUAGUGGAUUAACCAUAACCGUUGACGGUACAUGAGAGGUCUGAAAAAUUAAAAGUUAAAUUUUGCAUAGGUAAUUAAGAGUCACUCUGUUAGGUAAUUAGUAUAACUAUACUAUGAAUCCUUAACUCAAUUGGUAAGUCUUCAUUGCUCAAUCUUAGACGUCAGAUAGUGAUAGUUUAUGCUAUGAUUUCGUUUUAUUUUCAUCGUUAACUCCAAAAAAAUUUAAAACGGAAAUUGAAUAAACUAUGGAAAUUUUUAAGAAACAAAGGGAAUAAGCUUUGGAAAAAUAAUUUUUAACAUUUCUAACUCAACUAUAAAAAAUGGUCACCCUUUUUUCUUUUUUACAAGAAAUAAUAUGCUUCCCUAAAGAGAAGAGGUUUAUGUGACAUUAUCAAACAGUCAAUAAAAUUAGGAAUCUUCUGAAACAUGAGGCUUGUGCAAUGGUUAAAAAUCUUAACUUAUUCAAAUUUGUUUAUCUUCUACUUAAUACAUGCUCUAUUUUUAGUACAAGAAGUAAAAAUAAAUUAGCUCUAGCUGUUUGGAAUGAUAUUCAACAUCUCUUCAUGGAUUGCCACUUCCUAUAUAGGAUGAAAACGUGACUCAACUUAGAGAUUCUCUCAAGAAUGGCAGAAGAACUUUAGAGAAUACUAUGCUGAAGGCGAUUCUAAAUUAAUU
rnacentral:lncRNA from 1 species